GAUGAACGCUGGCGGCGUGCUUAACACAUGCAAGUCGAACGGUGAACACGGAGCUUGCUCUGUGGGAUCAGUGGCGAACGGGUGAGUAACACGUGAGCAACCUGCCCCUGACUCUGGGAUAAGCGCUGGAAACGGCGUCUAAUACUGGAUAUGUGACGUGGCCGGAUGGUCUUCGUUUGGAAAGAUUUUUCGGUUGGGGAUGGGGUCGCGGCCUAUCAGCUUGUUGGUGAGGUAAUGGCUCACCAAGGCGUCGACGGGUAGCCGGCCUGAGAGGGUGACCGGCCACACUGGGACUGAGACACGGCCCAGACUCCUACGGGAGGCAGCAGUGGGGAAUAUUGCACAAUGGGCGCAAGCCUGAUGCAGCAACGCCGCGUGAGGGAUGACGGCCUUCGGGUUGUAAACCUCUUUUAGCAGGGAAGAAGCGAAAGUGACGGUACCUGCAGAAAAAGCGCCGGCUAACUACGUG
rnacentral:rRNA from 1 species